CUUUACCCAGGAAAAAAAACAGAAACAACCAUAAAAAAAACUCACCUAGCGAUCUAAACAAAGGAGUCUAGGGUUCAGAUGUUCCACAGAAUUUCUUCACCGAAUUCCACAGAAUUUCUUUCAAUCCUGUUCAAAUGGACCAAGUUGCAAUAAUCGUGAAAUCUAUAGAAUCAAGAUGUAAGAACUGGAGCCAUAGAAGGAAAAAGUAGACAUUGAAGACAUCAAAAUUAAGACUGUUUGAAGAUCUGUGAUCCUUUGCAAAGAUCUGCGAUGUAAUGGACAGAGUGGUCAGAUAAAAUUGUGAUCAAGACAGAGAUAAGAGAGAAUCCAUAACUGUAAUGAGUAUGAAGCCCACAUGAAAGUCUAAGAAAAAGCUAAGUACUCUAUUUUCUUCUUUUGAAUAUCCGUUUGAGUAAUAAUAAUCUAAGCUACGGUUGGUUGAUAUAUUAUUUUAGUCUGUUUGUCUUAACACUCGAAUAAACUUAUAAAGAUAAUCUUCUUUGAAGAUAAGAGUUGUUUGAAUAGGUCAAUUAGGAUGAUAUAUGUAUUAUCUAUAGCUUAGUGAAGUUUGUUUGGUUGUUUGGCUUAUAUUGCAUUUAUUUUACGUUUCCAAUGACAGAUAUUUAUUUUAUGACAUGGUUUGUUUCUAAAAUUGGUUGUAGAUCACAUGUAUAUGUCUAGAUAAGUCCGAGAAUUUAUUUUUGGUUGAGUACUUUUGUGUUAUUUUUUUCACUUUUAGAGCAAGAACUCUUGUUAGACGUCGAUGCUAUGAAUUAUAAAGCGGAUUGAUAAAAGGAAAAUAUUCAACAAAGUUCUUAUUUCUGAUUUAUGUAAACUCUAUACAUGGCGUGCAGGUCAUACAAGUCUGUUUGAUACUUAACGUGCACUUUCAAGAAGACAACAUAGCAUAUCGAACAACACAAGAUAUUGGGAUAGUGGUGACAUGAAAAAGGAAUCCUAUUUUUUGGUUAGAAAGAUAGAAAUUGACGCCAUUUGGGUCAAACAAAGUAAAUUGUGCAUGUGCGACAAUAGUUUCUCAUGAUGGUCGAGCCAUCACCAUUGAUGGUCGAGCCAUCACCAUUGAUGGUCAUCCCCGAGUCCUCCUUUCUGGUUCAAUCCAUUACCCUAGAAGCACUCCUGAGAUGUGGCCAGAUCAUAUAAAAAAGGGUAAGGAAGGUGGUCUUGAUGCGAUCGAAACUUAUGUUUUCUGGAAUGCGCAUGAGCCUACUCGCCGUCAAUAUGAUUUCUCUGGAAAACUAGAUCUUAUUCGAUUCCUAAAAACCAUUCAAGAUGAAGGACUGUAUGGUGUUCUUCGCAUAAGACCAUAUGCAUGUGAAGAGGGAAUUACGGAGGAUUUCCUGUGUGGCUGCACAACAUGCCCAGAAUGGUGUUCAGAACUACAAACAAAGCAUUUAUGGUAAUUUUACCUGGAUGAAAUACAAAACUUCACAACUAUGAUAGUAGACAUGGUCAUGAAAGAAAAGUUGUUUGCAUCACAAGGGGGUCCAAUUAUUCUUGCUCAGAUUGAAAAUGAGUACGGAAAUAUAAUGGGACCCUAUGGAGAAGCGGGUGAAUCAUAUAUUAAAUUGUGUGCAAACAUGGCUCAGGCUCUUAAUGUUGGUGUUCCAUGGAUAAUAUGUCAACAAAAUUAUGCCCCUCAACCUAUGUUGAACACAUGUAAUGGCUAUUAUUUUGACAAUUUUACACCAAACAAUCUCAACACUCCAAAGAUGUGGACUGAGAAUUGGACCGGAUGGUUUAAACAAUGGGGUGGUAAAAAUCCUCAUAGAACAACCGAAGAUGUUGCAUUUUCUGUUGCAAGAUUCUUCCAAAGAGGAGGAACUUUUAAUAAUUAU